UCUUCCUUCCAUCUUGGUGCCCCCACUAUUUUCUACCUCGUUUGGCUUGCCAAUUUCAAGCUCCUCCUCUUUUGUUUCGAUCGUGGACCUUUAUCCUCUUACUCUUCUUUGCCUCUUCUUCAUUUCCUCUCCAUUGCUCUCCUCCCUGUCAAACCCAAACACGGUAUCAGAGAUGGAUCUAGAAUUUCAAGUCGACCGCGUUUGUUUUGGGGGAAGAUUAUUCUUUUGGGAGCUAUUAUUGGGGCGUAUAGUUACAGAGAGUUUUUACCUUCGCAUGUAAUAUUGGUUCUUUACUGCAUUCAUAUUUAUAUAGCAGUGGAGUUAGUCCUCGCAAUUACAGUUGUUCCAGUACGAGCUCUACUCGGGCUAGAAAUCGAGCCUCAAUUCAACGAUCCAUACCUCGCCACCUCACUU
rnacentral:lncRNA from 1 species